CUACGCACUCCUACGGGAGGCAGCAGUGGGGAAUAUUGCACAAUGGGCGCAAGCCUGAUGCAGCCAUGCCGCGUGUAUGAAGAAGGCCUUCGGGUUGUAAAGUACUUUCAGCAGUGAGGAAGGUGGAUAUGUUAAUAGCAUAUUCAUUUGACGUUAGCUGCAGAAGAAGCACCGGCUAACUCCGUGCCAGCAGCCGCGGUAAUACGGAGGGUGCGAGCGUUAAUCGGAAUUACUGGGCGUAAAGCGCAUGCAGGUGGUUUGUUAAGUCAGAUGUGAAAGCCCGGGGCUCAACCUCGGAAUUGCAUUUGAAACUGGCAAACUAGAGUACUGUAGAGGGGGGUAGAAUUUCAGGUGUAGCGGUGAAAUGCGUAGAGAUCUGAAGGAAUACCGGUGGCGAAGGCGGCCCCCUGGACAGAUACUGACACUCGGAUGCGAAAGCGUGGGGAGCAAACAGGAUUAGAUACCCUGGUAG
rnacentral:rRNA from 1 species